rnacentral:lncRNA from 1 species
UCACCUGACUUGGAGAGUUCAAAGUCCCUAACACAGGGACUCUGGUACCCACAAGCCUGGAUCCUGGCGUGCUCUGCUGCUUUCCUUCAAGCCCUGGCCUCAUCAGACCUCCAAGGCUCCCUAGACAGGGUUAAUUAUUCACGUGGCCUGGGACCCAGGGUUCAUUUGUUUGUUUUUCCCUGACACAGUAGGUCCACGAGGAAGUCAGGAUCCACUGGCAAUGUUUGCAGUGCUGUGUUGAGUGUGGCAACUGGCUGCGUGACGAUAGAGAAGUAAACAGCAUGUCCGGUGGCAGUCGGUUACCACAUAGAAAUUAGGAUGCCCAGUGAAAUGCGAAUGCUAGGUCCCUCUCCCCUCUGGGUGAACCUGGAUGCCAGCACCCUGUUCUGCCCACCCAGCAUGCAGAACAAAAGCACAAUGCACAGAAACACAGCCAGUAUGCGCAGGGCGGCAGGCUGGCUUCUCACUCUCUCCUGCUGAGGUCUCCACCCCCGUGCCCCUUCCCUCCUUCCCUCCCCUCUCCUCUUCUAUUAGAAAAUGUGAGUGUUAGGGUUGAAUUG